rnacentral:piRNA from 1 species
UGCAGAGUACUCCUGGGCCAAUCAUUGU